CCAACGUGGACAUCCUGUGAGGUUGCUCUCAUAUGGCUCUGUCCGUGUGGCGUAUGGGAGCGCAGCACUUUACGGUGCCGUGACGUACAGUCCCGUUCCACGUCGUUGGAUAGUAAGCCAGUCCCCGGCCUUUGGGCUGGUGAGGACGGCGUACUGUAUAUUCCUACAUCUUCCCAGAGCUCUCAGCUAUGACUGGGGAGGUAAACCAUGCAGUGCACAGAU
rnacentral:snoRNA from 1 species